UACGGAGGGUGCGAGCGUUGUCCGGAAUCAUUGGGCGUAAAGGGCGCGUAGGUGGCCUGCUAAGCGUGCGGUGAAAGCUCGGGGCUCAACCCGAGUCGGCCGUGCGAACUGGUGGGCUUGAGCACUGUAGAGGCAGGCGGAAUUCCGGGUGUAGCGGUGGAAUGCGUAGAGAUCCGGAGGAAGACCGGUGGCGAAGGCGGCCUGCUGGGGCAGUUACUGACACUGAGGCGCGAAGGCGUGGGGGAGCGAAGCGGG
rnacentral:rRNA from 1 species